GUGAACGCUGGCGGUAGGCCUAACACCUGCAAGUCGAACGGCAGCACAGUAAGAGCUUGCUCUUACGGGUGGCGAGUGGCGGACGGGUGAGGAAUACAUCGGAAUCUACUUUUUCGUGGGGGAUAACGUAGGGAAACUUACGCUAAUACCGCAUACGACCUACGGGUGAAAGCAGGGGAUCUUCGGACCUUGCGCGAUUGAAUGAGCCGAUGUCGGAUUAGCUAGUUGGCGGGGUAAAGGCCCACCAAGGCGACGAUCCGUAGCUGGUCUGAGAGGAUGAUGGGCCACACGGGAACUGGGACACGGGCCAGACUCCUAGGGGGGGCAGCAGUGGGGAAUUUUGGACAAGGGGCGCAAGCCUGAUCCAGCCAUACCGGGUGGGUGAAGAAGGCCUUCGGGUUGUAAAGCCCUUUUGUUGGGAAAAAAAAGCAGCAGGUUAAACCCCCGCUGUUCUGACGGUACCCAAAGAAUAAGCACCGGCUAACUUCGG
rnacentral:rRNA from 1 species